CCUACGGGAGACAGCAGUGGGGAAUAUUGGGCAAUGGGCGCAAGCCUGACCCAGCAAGGCCGCGUGAAGGAAGAAGGCUUUCGGGUUGUAAACUUCUUUUCUGAGGGACGAAGAAAGUGACGGUACCUCAGGAAUAAGCCACGGUGAACUACGUGCCAGCAGCCGCGGUAAUACGUAGGUGGCAAGCGUUAUCCGGAUUUAUUGGGUGUAAGGGGCGUGUAGGCGGGAAAGCAAGUCAGAUGUGAAAACUCAGGGCUCAACCCUGAGACUGCAUUUGAAACUGUUUUUCUUGAGUGCUUGAGAGGCAAUCGGAAUUCCGUGUGUAGCGGUGAAAUGCGUAGAUAUACGGAGGAACACCAGUGGCGAAGGCGGAUUGCUGGACAGUAACUGACGCUGAGGCGCGAAAGCGUGGGGAGCAAACAGGAUUAGAUACCCCUGUAGUC
rnacentral:rRNA from 1 species